rnacentral:rRNA from 1 species
UACGAAGGGGGCUAGCGUUGUUCGGAAUCACUGGGCGUAAAGGGCGCGUAGGCGGCCUGAUAAGUCGGGGGUGAAAGCCUGUGGCUCAACCACAGAAUUGCCUUCGAUACUGUUAGGCUUGAGACCGGAAGAGGUAAGUGGAACUGCGAGUGUAGAGGUGAAAUUCGUAGAUAUUCGCAAGAACACCAGUGGCGAAGGCGGCAUUCUGGACCGAAACUGACACUGAGGCGCGAAAGCCAGGGGAGCAAACGGG